rnacentral:tRNA from 1 species
UAGCUCAGUUGGCUGAGCAUGGCGCUAACAAUGCCAAGGUCGUGGGUUCAAUUCCCGGU